GAAUCGGUGGCGGAAUGGUAGACGCAUAGAAUCCGAGAAAGGUAGAUAGGUCGUAACCAGCCUCUACCGUGCAGGUUCGAGUCCUGCCCGAUUCA
rnacentral:tRNA from 1 species